rnacentral:rRNA from 1 species
GAUGAACGCUGGCGGCGUGCCUAAUACAUGCAAGUCGAGCGAAUGGAUUAAGAGCUUGCUCUUAUGAAGUUAGCGGCGGGAGGGUGAGUAACACGUGGGUAACCUGCCCAUAAGACUGGGAUAACUCCGGGAAAGCGGGGCUAAUACCGGAUAACAUUUUGAACCGCAUGGUUCGAAAUUGAAAGGCGGCUUCGGCUGUCACUUAUGGAUGGAUCCGCGUCGCAUUAGCUAGUUGGUGAGGUAACGGCUCACCAAGGCAACGAUGCGUAGCCGACCUGUGAGGGUGAUCGGCCACACGGGGACUGGGACACGGCCCAGACUCCUACGGGAGGCAGCAGUAGGGAAUCUUCCGCAAUGGACGAAAGUCUGACGGAGCAACGCCGCGUGAAUGAUGAAGGCUUUCGGGUCGUAAAACUCUGUUGUUAGGGAAGAACAAGUGCUAGUUGAAUAAGCUGGAACCUUGACGGUACCUAACCAGAAAGCCACGGCUAACUACGUGCCAGCCGCCGCAGUAA